CGGGUGAGUAGCGCGUGGGUAACCUGCCUCAUACAGGGGGAUAACAGUUAGAAAUGGCUGCUAAUACCGCAUAAGACCACAGUACUGCAUGGUACAGUGGUAAAAACUCCGGUGGUAUGAGAUGGACCCGCGUCUGAUUAGGUAGUUGGUGAGGUAACGGCCUACCAAGCCGACGAUCAGUAGCCGACCUGAGAGGGUGACCGGCCACAUUGGGACUGAGACACGGCCCAG
rnacentral:rRNA from 1 species